rnacentral:rRNA from 1 species
GACGAACGCUGGCGGCGUGCCUAAUACAUGCAAGUCGAGCGGAUGGAAGGAAGCUUGCUUCCUAAAGUCAGCGGCGGACGGGUGAGUAACACGUGGGCAACCUGCCCCUAAGAUCGGGAUAACUUCGGGAAACCGGAGCUAAUACCGGAUAUGAUUAUGUCUCACAUGAGGCGUAAUGGAAAGACGGUUUCGGCUGUCACUUAGGGAUGGGCCCGCGGCGCAUUAGCUAGUUGGUGAGGUAACGGCUCACCAAGGCGACGAUGCGUAGCCGACCUGAGAGGGCGAUCGGCCACACUGGGACUGAGACGCGGCCCAGACUCCUACGGGAGGCAGCAGUAGGGAAUCUUCCGCAAUGGACGAAAGUCUGACGGAGCAACGCCGCGUGAGUGAUGAAGGUUUUCGGAUCGUAAAACUCUGUUGUUAGGGAAGAACAAGUACCAUAGUAACUGAUGGUACCUUGACGGUACCUAACCAGAAAGCCACGGCUAACUACGUGCCAGCAGCCGCGGUAAAAC